rnacentral:rRNA from 1 species
UACAGAGGUCCCGAGCGUUGUUCGGAUUCAUUGGGCGUAAAGGGUGCGUAGGCGGUCUUCUAAGUUUGAUGUGAAAUCCCGGGGCUCAACCCUGGAAUUGCAUUGAAUACUGGAGGACUAGAGUACCGGAGAGGAAACUGGAAUUUACGGUGUAGCAGUGAAAUGCGUAGAGAUCGUAAGGAAGACCAGUGGCGAAGGCGAGUUUCUGGACGGUAACUGGACGCGUGAGGCAGCGAAAGGCCAGGGGGAGCAAACGGG